rnacentral:rRNA from 1 species
CUUGGUCAUUUAGAGGAAGUAAAAGUCGAACAAGGUUUCCUUCACCUAUUGAAGCCUUCAGCAGCGACUGUAAAGAAUGCGUAGUUUGCUUGCAAGCAAUGCCACUCAAAUGCUGAGACAUAUGAACAGCAGCCUUCUAGGCUCACAGAUCAAAUUGUGGUAACCAUUCUUAUGGCAAGAUAUGACCGGUCUUAACUAGAGUUAGUUAAGAAUCCACGUUCCGUGGUGAACCUGCGGAAGGAUCAUUAAAGGUUUCGGGUACCCAGUGCCCAACUUCAACCCUAUGUUUUAACUAUACAUGUUUCUUUGCCGGUUUCGGCCGCAGAAGUUUUCUCAAACUCAUUAUUAAUGUGUCUUCUGAAUCAAAAUUAAUAAAUUAAAACUUUCAACAACGGAUCUCUUGGUUCUGGCAUCGAUGAAAACGCAGCGAAAUGCGAUAAGUAAUGUGAAUUGCAGAAUUCAGUGAAUCUCGAAUCUUUGAACGCAUAUUGCGCCCUUUGGCAUUCCGAAGGGCAUACUGUUCGAGCGUCAUUACACCCCUCAAAGAUAACUCUUUGGCGUUGGGCUUGCCUAAAGGCAUGCCUCAAAAUCAGCGAUGGUGAUAUUCAACCACAGGGCACAAAUGUCGUCUGGCUGGCGGGAUGUUGACAGUCAAUUGAUGAAUUCUAAAUGUUGACCUCGGAUCAGGUAGGAAUACCCGCUGAACUUAAGCAUUCAAUAAGCGGAGGAA